GAUGAACGCUGGCGGCGUGCCUAAUACAUGCAAGUCGAGCGAACGGACGAGAAGCUUGCUUCUCUGAUGUUAGCGGCGGACGGGUGAGUAACACGUGGAUAACCUACCUAUAAGACUGGGAUAACUUCGGGAAACCGGAGCUAAUACCGUAUGAUCUUUUGAACCGCAUGGUUCAAAAGUGAAAGACGGUCUUGCUGUCACUUAUCGAUGGAUCCGCGCUGCAUUAGCUAGUUGGUAAGGUAACGGCUUACCAAGGCAACGAUGCCUAGCCGACCUGAGAGGGUGAUCGGCCACACUGGAACUGAGACACGGUCCAGACUCCUACGGGAGGCAGCAGUAGGGAAUCUUACGCAAUGGGCGAAAGCCUGACGGAGCAACGCCGCGUGAGUGAUGAAGGUCUUCGGAUCGUAAAACUCUGUUAUGAGGGAAGAACAUAUGUGUAAGUAACUGUGCACAUCGUGACGGUACCUAAUCAGAAAGCCACGGCUAACUACGUG
rnacentral:rRNA from 1 species